CCUACGGGAGGCAGCAGUGGGGAAUAUUGGACAAUGGGCGGAAGCCUGAUCCAGCCAUGCCGCGUGUGUGAAGAAGGCCUUUUGGUUGUAAAGCACUUUAAGCGAGGAGGAGGCUACUAGUACUAAUACUACUGGAUAGUGGACGUUACUCGCAGAAUAAGCACCGGCUAACUCUGUGCCAGCAGCCGCGGUAAUACAGAGGGUGCGAGCGUUAAUCGGAUUUACUGGGCGUAAAGCGUGCGUAGGCGGCUUUUUAAGUCGGAUGUGAAAUCCCCGAGCUUAACUUGGGAAUUGCAUUCGAUACUGGGAAGCUAGAGUAUGGGAGAGGAUGGUAGAAUUCCAGGUGUAGCGGUGAAAUGCGUAGAGAUCUGGAGGAAUACCGAUGGCGAAGGCAGCCAUCUGGCCUAAUACUGACGCUGAGGUACGAAAGCAUGGGGGAGCAAACAGGAUUAGAUACCCUGGUAGUCCAUGCCGUAAACGAUGUCUACUAGCCGUUGGGGCCUUUGAGGCUUUAGUGGCGCAGCUAACGCGAUAAGUAGACCGCCUGGGGAGUACGGUCGCAAGACUAAAACUCAAAAUGAAAUUGACGG
rnacentral:rRNA from 1 species